rnacentral:rRNA from 1 species
CUCCAGACUCCUACGGGAGGCAGCAGUGGGGAAUAUUGCACAAUGGGGGAAACCCUGAUGCAGCGACACCGCGUGAGCGAUGAAGUAUUUCGGUAUGUAAAGCUCUAUCAGCAGGGAAGAAGAUGACGGUACCUGACUAAGAAGCCCCGGCUAACUACGUGCCAGCAGCCGCGGUAAUACGUAGGGGGCAAGCGUUAUCCGGAUUUACUGGGUGUAAAGGGAGCGUAGACGGCGAUGCAAGCCAGAUGUGAAAGCCCGGGGCUCAACCCCGGGACUGCAUUUGGAACUGUGUGGCUGGAGUGUCGGAGAGGCAGGCGGAAUUCCUAGUGUAGCGGUGAAAUGCGUAGAUAUUAGGAGGAACACCAGUGGCGAAGGCGGCCUGCUGGACGAUGACUGACGUUGAGGCUCGAAAGCGUGGGGAGCAAACAGGAUUAGAUACCCUCGUAAC